AGGCCUGUAGUCUAGCGGUUAAGGUACAUGACUGGGACCCCUGAGAUUGGCCGUUCGAACCCCAGUUUUG